rnacentral:tRNA from 1 species
GGAGUCUUAGUUUAAGGUAAAAUAUCUGUGUUGCAAGCAGGUGAUGUGGUGUAGCCGCAGACUCUAG